rnacentral:rRNA from 1 species
AACGAACGCUGGCGGCAUGCCUAACACAUGCAAGUCGAACGAGACCUUCGGGUCUAGUGGCGCACGGGUGCGUAACGCGUGGGAAUCUGCCCUUGGGUUCGGAAUAACAGUUAGAAAUGACUGCUAAUACCGGAUGAUGUCUUCGGACCAAAGAUUUAUCGCCCAGGGAUGAGCCCGCGUAGGAUUAGCUUGUUGGUGGGGUAAAGGCCUACCAAGGCGACGAUCCUUAGCUGGUCUGAGAGGAUGAUCAGCCACACUGGGACUGAGACACGGCCCAGACUCCUACGGGAGGCAGCAGUGGGGAAUAUUGGACAAUGGGCGAAAGCCUGAUCCAGCAAUGCCGCGUGAGUGAUGAAGGCCUUAGGGUUAUAAAGCUCUUUUACCCGGGAUGAUAAUGACAGUACCGGGAGAAUAAGCCCCGGCUAACUCCGUG